GGAUCCAGACUUUGAUUCUGGCUCAGGAUGAACGCUAGCUACAGGCUUAACACAUGUAAGUCGAGGGGCAGCGAUGAAGAAAGCUUGCUUUCUUCAGGCGGCGACCGGCGCACGGGUGAGUAACGCGUAUCGAACCUGCCUCAUACUCAGGAAUAGCCUUGCGAAAGUAAGAUUAAUGCCCGAUGUUAUCAGGAUAUCACAUGAUGUUUUAAUUAAAGAUUUAUCGGUAUGAGAUGGCGAUGCGUCCCAUUAGCUUGUUGGCGGGGUAACGGCCCACCAAGGCAUCGAUGGGUAGGGGUUCUGAGAGGAAGGUCCCCCACAUUGGAACUGAGACACGGUCCAAACUCCUACGGGAGGCAGCAGUGAGGAAUAUUGGUCAAUGGACGCAAGUCUGAACCAGCCAAGUAGCGUGCAGGAAGACGGCCCUCUGGGUUGUAAACUGCUUUUAGUUGGGAAUAAAGUGCACCGCGUGUGGUGUUUUGUAUGUACCAUCAGAAAAAGGACCGGCUAAUUCCGUGCCAGCAGCCGCGGUAAUACGGAAGGUCCAGGCGUUAUCCGGAUUUAUUGGGUUUAAAGGGAGCGCAGGCGGACCUUUAAGUCAGCUGUGAAAUACGGCGGCUCAACCGUCGAACUGCAGUUGAUACUGGAGGUCUUGAGUGCACACAGGGAUACUGGAAUUCAUGGUGUAGCGGUGAAAUGCUCAGAUAUCAUGAAGAACUCCGAUCGCGAAGGCAGGUAUCCGGGGUGCAACUGACGCUGAGGCUCGAAAGUGCGGGUAUCAAACAGGAUUAGAUACCCUGGUAGUCCGCACAGUAAACGAUGAAUACUCGCGAUUUGCGAUACACAGUAAGUCGCCAAGCGAAAGCGUUAAGUAUUCCACCUGGGGAGUACGCCGGCAACGGUGCAACUCAAAGGAAUUGACGG
rnacentral:rRNA from 2 species